GGUUAAGUUAGAAAGGGCGCACGGUGGAUGCCUUGGCACUAGGAGCCGAUGAAGGACGGGACGAACACCGAUAUGCUUCGGGGAGCUGUAAGCAAGCUUUGAUCCGGAGAUUUCCGAAUGGGGAAACCCACCACUCGUAAUGGAGUGGUAUCCAUAUCUGAAUACAUAGGAUAUGAGAAGGCAGACCCGGGGAACUGAAACAUCUAAGUACCCGGAGGAAGAGAAAGCAAAUGCGAUUCCCUGAGUAGCGGCGAGCGAAACGGGAUCAGCCCAAACCAAGAGGCUUGCCUCUUGGGGUUGUAGGACACUCUGUACGGAGUUACAAAGGAACGAGGUAGAUGAAGAGGUCUGGAAAGGCCCGCCAUAGGAGGUAACAGCCCUGUAGUCAAAACUUCGUUCUCUCCUGAGUGGAUCCUGAGUACGGCGGAACACGUGAAAUUCCGUCGGAAUCCGGGAGGACCAUCUCCCAAGGCUAAAUACUCCCUAGUGACCGAUAGUGAACCAGUACCGUGAGGGAAAGGUGAAAAGCACCCCGGAAGGGGAGUGAAAGAGAUCCUGAAACCGUGUGCCUACAAGUAGUCAGAGCCCGUUAACGGGUGAUGGCGUGCCUUUUGUAGAAUGAACCGGCGAGUUACGAUCCCGUGCAAGGUUAAGCAGAAGAUGCGGAGCCGCAGCGAAAGCGAGUCUGAAUAGGGCGAAUUGAGUACGUGGUCGUAGACCCGAAACCAGGUGAUCUACCCAUGUCCAGGGUGAAGUUCAGGUAACACUGAAUGGAGGCCCGAACCCACGCACGUUGAAAAGUGCGGGGAUGAGGUGUGGGUAGGGGUGAAAUGCCAAUCGAACCUGGAGAUAGCUGGUUCUCUCCGAAAUAGCUUUAGGGCUAGCCUCAAGGUAAGAGUCUCGGAGGUAGAGCACUGAUUGGACUAGGGGCCCCUACCGGGUUACCGAAUUCAGUCAAACUCCGAAUGCCGAUGACUUAUCCUUGGGAGUCAGACUGCGAGUGAUAAGAUCCGUAGUCGAAAGGGAAACAGCCCAGACCGCCAGCUAAGGUCCCAAAGUAUACGUUAAGUGGAAAAGGAUGUGGAGUUGCUUAGACAACCAGGAUGUUGGCUUAGAAGCAGCCACCAUUUAAAGAGUGCGUAAUAGCUCACUGGUCGAGUGACUCUGCGCCGAAAAUGUACCGGGGCUAAACGUAUCACCGAAGCUGCGGACUGUUCUUCGAACAGUGGUAGGAGAGCGUUCUAAGGGCUGUGAAGCAAGACCGGAAGGACUUGUGGAGCGCUUAGAAGUGAGAAUGCCGGUAUGAGUAGCGAAAGAGGGGUGAGAAUCCCCUCCACCGAAUGCCUAAGGUUUCCUGAGGAAGGCUCGUCCGCUCAGGGUUAGUCGGGACCUAAGCCGAGGCCGAAAGGCGUAGGCGAUGGACAACAGGUUGAUAUUCCUGUACCACCUCCUCACCAUUUGAGCAAUGGGGGGACGCAGGAGGAUAGGGUAAGCGCGGUAUUGGAUAUCCGCGUCCAAGCAGUUAGGCUGGGAAAUAGGCAAAUCCGUUUCCCGUGAAGGCUGAGCUGUGAUGGCGAGCGAAUUAUAGUAGCGAAGUUCCUGAUUCCACACUGCCAAGAAAAGCCUCUAGCGAGGUGAGAGGUGCCCGUACCGCAAACCGACACAGGUAGGCGAGGAGAGAAUCCUAAGGUGAUCGAGAGAACUCUCGUUAAGGAACUCGGCAAAAUGACCCCGUAACUUCGGGAGAAGGGGUGCUCUGUUAGGGUGCAAGCCCGAGAGAGCCGCAGUGAAUAGGCCCAGGCGACUGUUUAGCAAAAACACAGGUCUCUGCGAAGCCGUAAGGCGAAGUAUAGGGGCUGACGCCUGCCCGGUGCUGGAAGGUUAAGAGGAGCGCUUAGCGUAAGCGAAGGUGCGAAUUGAAGCCCCAGUAAACGGCGGCCGUAACUAUAACGGUCCUAAGGUAGCGAAAUUCCUUGUCGGGUAAGUUCCGACCCGCACGAAAGGCGCAACGAUCUGGGCACUGUCUCAACGAGAGACUCGGUGAAAUUAUAGUACCUGUGAAGAUGCAGGUUACCCGCGACAGGACGGAAAGACCCCGUGGAGCUUUACUGCAGCCUGAUAUUGAAUGUUGGUACAGCUUGUACAGGAUAGGUAGGAGCCUUGGAAACCGGAGCGCCAGCUUCGGUGGAGGCAUCGGUGGGAUACUACCCUGGCUGUAUUGACUUCUAACCCGCCGCCCUUAUCGGGCGGGGAGACAGUGUCAGGUGGGCAGUUUGACUGGGGCGGUCGCCUCCUAAAAGGUAACGGAGGCGCCCAAAGGUUCCCUCAGAAUGGUUGGAAAUCAUUCGCAGAGUGUAAAGGCACAAGGGAGCUUGACUGCGAGACCUACAAGUCGAGCAGGGACGAAAGUCGGGCUUAGUGAUCCGGUGGUUCCGCAUGGAAGGGCCAUCGCUCAACGGAUAAAAGCUACCCCGGGGAUAACAGGCUUAUCUCCCCCAAGAGUCCACAUCGACGGGGAGGUUUGGCACCUCGAUGUCGGCUCAUCGCAUCCUGGGGCUGUAGUCGGUCCCAAGGGUUGGGCUGUUCGCCCAUUAAAGCGGUACGCGAGCUGGGUUCAGAACGUCGUGAGACAGUUCGGUCCCUAUCCGUCGCGGGCGCAGGAAAUUUGAGAGGAGCUGUCCUUAGUACGAGAGGACCGGGAUGGACGCACCGCUGGUGUACCAGUUGUUCUGCCAAGGGCAUCGCUGGGUAGCUAUGUGCGGACGGGAUAAGUGCUGAAAGCAUCUAAGCAUGAAGCCCCCCUCAAGAUGAGAUUUCCCAUUCCGCAAGGAAGUAAGAUCCCUGAAAGAUGAUCAGGUUGAUAGGUCUGAGGUGGAAGUGUGGCGACACAUGGAGCUGACAGAUACUAAUCGAUCGAGGACUUAACCAA
rnacentral:rRNA from 1 species